UACAGAGGUGCCAAGCGUUAGGCGGAAUCACUGGGCUUAAAGGGCGCGUAGGCGGGUGCUCAAGUCCGUGGUGAAAUCCUCCGGCUCAACCGGAGAACUGCCUCGGGUACUGGGUGCCUCGAGGGUGGUAGGGGUAUGCGGAACUAUCGGUGGAGCGGUGAAAUGCGUUGAUAUCGAUAGGAACUCCGGUGGCGAAGGCGGCAUACUGGACCACCUCUGACGCUGAGGCGCGAAAGCCAGGGGAGCAAACGGG
rnacentral:rRNA from 1 species